UUGCCCUAGUAACGGCGAGUGAAGCGGCAACAGCUCAAAUUUGAAAUCUGGCGUCUUUGGCGUCCGAGUUGUAAUUUGCAGAGGGCGCUUUGGCAUUGGCAGCGGUCCAAGUUCCUUGGAACAGGACGUCACAGAGGGUGAGAAUCCCGUACGUGGUCGCUAGCCUUUACCGUGUAAAGCCCCUUCGACGAGUCGAGUUGUUUGGGAAUGCAGCUCUAAAUGGGAGGUAAAUUUCUUCUAAAGCUAAAUACUGGCCAGAGACCGAUAGCGCACAAGUAGAGUGAUCGAAAGAUGAAAAGCACUUUGGAAAGAGAGUUAAAAAGCACGUGAAAUUGUUGAAAGGGAAGCGCUUGCAGCCAGACUUGCCUGUAGUUGCUCAUCCGGGUUUUUACCCGGUGCACUCUUCUAUAGGCAGGCCAGCAUCAGUUUGGGCGGUUGGAUAAAGGUCUCUGUCAUGUACCUCUCUUCGGGGAGAACUUAUAGGGGAGACGACAUGCAACCAGCCUGGACUGAGGUCCGCGCAUCUGCUAGGAUGCUGGCGUAAUGGCUGUAAGCGGCCCGUCUUGAAACACGGACCAAGGAGUCUAACAUCUAUGCGAGUGUUUGGGUGUCAAGCCCGAGCGCGUAAUGAAAGUGAACGGAGGUGGGAACCUUUCGGGGUGCACCAUCGACCGAUCCUGAUGUCUUCGGGAU
rnacentral:rRNA from 2 species